AUGCAAGUCGAGGGGUAUUGGUUUUCGGACCAAGAGACCGGCGCACGGGUGCGUGACGCGUAUGCAAUCUACCUUUUGCAGAGGGAUAGCCCAGAGAAAUUUGGAUUAAUACCUCAUAGUAUAGCAGUUUCGCAUGAAACCACUAUUAAAGUCACAACGGCAAAAGAUGAGCAUGCGUCCCAUUAGCUAGUUGGUAAGGUAACGGCUUACCAAGGCUACGAUGGGUAGGGGUCCUGAGAGGGAGAUCCCCCACACUGGUACUGAGACACGGACCAGACUCCUACGGGAGGCAGCAGUGAGGAAUAUUGGACAAUGGGCGCAAGCCUGAUCCAGCCAUGCCGCGUGCAGGAUGACGGUCCUAUGGAUUGUAAACUGCUUUUGUACAGGAAGAAACACUCCCUCGUGAGGGAGCUUGACGGUACUGUAAGAAUAAGGAUCGGCUAACUCCGUGCCAGCAGCUGCGGUAAUACGGAGGAUCCAAGCGUUAUCCGGAAUCAUUGGGUUUAAAGGGUCCGUAGGCGGUUUAGUAAGUCAGUGGUGAAAGCCCAUCGCUCAACGGUGGAACGGCCAUUGAUACUGCUAGACUUGAAUUAUUAGGAAGUAACUAGAAUAUGUAGUGUAGCGGUGAAAUGCUUAGAGAUUACAUGGAAUACCAAUUGCGAAGGCAGGUUACUACUAAUGGAUUGACGCUGAUGGACGAAAGCGUGGGUAGCGAACAGGAUUAGAUACCCUGGUAGUCCACGCCGUAAACGAUGGAUACUAGCUGUUGGGAGCAAUCUCAGUGGCUAAGCGAAAGUGAUAAGUAUCCCACCUGGGGAGUACGUUCGCAAGAAUGAAACUCAAAGGAAUUGACGGGGGCCCGCACAAGCGGUGGAGCAUGUGGUUUAAUUCGAUGAUACGCGAGGAACCUUACCAAGGCUUAAAUGUAGAUUGACCGGUUUGGAAACAGACUUU
rnacentral:rRNA from 1 species